rnacentral:rRNA from 1 species
AACGCUGGCGGCGCGCUUAACACAUGCAAGUCGAGCGAGAACCUGGCCUUCGGGCCAGGGGACAGCGGCGAACGGGUGAGUAACACGUGGGUAAUCUGCCCUUGACAUCGGGAUAGCCCGGGGAAACCCGGAUUAAUACCGAAUAGCCUCCGGAGCCUUCGGGCGCCGGAGAAAAGGUAUCUUCGGCCUCUGGUCAAGGAUGAGCCCGCGGCGGAUUAGCUUGUUGGCGGGGUAACGGCCCACCAAGGCGACGAUCCGUAGCUGGUCUGAGAGGACGAUCAGCCACACUGGGACUGAGACACGGCCCAGACUCCUACGGGAGGCAGCAGUGGGGAAUCUUGCGCAAAUGCGGGAAACCGUGACGCAGCGACGCCGCGUGGGGGAAGAAGGCCUUCGGGUUGUAAACCUCUUUCAGGAGGGACGAAGCUACUCGGGUUAAUAGCCCAGAGGGUGACGGUACCUCCAGAAGAAGCCCCGGCUAACUACGUGCCAGCAGCCGCAGUAACAC